CUGGGAUCCUAUGACCCCAGCUGACUUCCUGCCCCUGGGGCAGGGGGCUGGACUUGAUGAUCUUCUGAGGUACCUUUCAGCCCCCUAAUGUCUAUAAAAUCUGCCAAGCUG